rnacentral:rRNA from 1 species
UGGUCCCACCUGACCCCAUGCCGAACUCAGAAGUGAAACGCCGUAGCGCCGAUGGUAGUGUGGGGCCUCCCCAUGCGAGAGUAGGGAACUGCCAGAC